GGGAAAUCCCACAGGUUCCCCUUAUCGAUUCAGGGAGCCCCUGGUCAGAGGUAGGGUGACCAGAUAGCAACUGUGUAAAAUUUUUGUGGUAAAAAACCCACUUCUUCAGAUGCAUAUAAAAACGGGACAUCUGGUCACCCUAGUCAGAGGGGAGCAGAUAAUCGAGGCUGAGUUCAUGUGGUAUUUCACCCAGUAAUUCCCACCUCCAGCCUAUACAAAUUCUGCUUGAACUAGAACACAUUUUUUAAAGAGACAUCAGCCUCGAUUUAAAGACUUCAAGUGAAGUAGAAUCCACCACUAACACGGCUGCUACUCUGAAACCACAUCUCUUGAUCAGUGAAAACAAGUGAACAUUUCAAAUCUGAGGGGUUCUCAGCCUUGGAAAAAAUGGGAAUCCCUGCUGUAUGGAAAAGGAUCUCAGCAAAUACUUUCUACAUGCUCCAUAUAAGCAUCGUUGGAGCAACUCUGUCACAAGAGAAGCAGUCCAGCCCCCUCUAUCCAAGGAGCAAGAUGGCAAGUGAUGAC